GGCAGGUUGCCCGAGCGGCCAAUGGGAGCGGACUGUAAAUCCGUCGCGAAAGCUUCCAAGGUUCGAAUCCUUGACCUGCCACCA
rnacentral:tRNA from 4 species